AGCUCCAGUAGUUAGUAAGUAAGAAAGAACCGACGAGAAAAGAAAAACGGUGAUCAGUGAUCUUUCUUGGUGACUUUUAAUCAUGGCUAACAAAAGUGCGGUUUUUCUCGUUUUCUUUUUUCUACUUUCUUUGGCCAUAAUCCACGAGAGUGAGGGAUUGUUAUAUGGAUUUUCAUACCACGGAGUGCCAAAACAAAAGCAGAAGACUGGCGGUGAUGAGCCUUAUAGAAGAGCGAAAGAAGCAAAGUUCUUUGGAAAAACAAGGUUUCUUCGUGACCAACAGCAAGAAGACCUGACCGACAGGAGACUAAAUUACAGGGACUGAAGCAUUUGAUGUGAAUGAAUCCAGAACCGUUCUCAACCAGCACGCAUAAUAUUUUCGCUUCAAAUCUAUCGUAAAGAAUGUAUUACUAAUAGAAAUAACGAUUAUUGAUAAUAAUAAAUACCAUUAGUUUAUUGAG